GACGAACGCUGGCGGCGUGCUUAACACAUGCAAGUGGAGCGACGAACCAGGGCUUGCCCUGGGGCAAAGCCGCGAACGGGUGAGUAACACGUGGGUAACCUGCCCCGAUGACCGGGACAACCCGAGGAAACUCGGGCUAAUACCGGAUGUAGAACUCUCACAUCAGUGAGUUUUCUAAAGGUAGCUUCGGCUUCCGCAUUGGGAUGGGCAUGCGUCCCAUUAGCCAGUUGGCGAGGUAACGGCUCACCAAGGCGACGAUGGGUAGGGGAUCUGAGAGGAUUAACCCCCACACUGGUACUGAGACACGGACCAGACUCCUACGGGAGGCAGCAGUAAGGAAUAUUGGACAAUGGUGGCAACACUGAUCCAGCCAUGCCGCGUGCAGGAUGACGGCCCUAUGGGUUGUAAACUGCUUUUAUUCGGGAAUAAACCUCUGUACGUGUACGGAGCUGAAGGUACCGAAUGAAUAAGCAUCGGCUAACUUCGUGCCAGCAGCCGCAGUAAGAC
rnacentral:rRNA from 1 species